AAAUGGGGGCUGGAUAUGCCAUUUGUUCUUAAGAAAACUGAAAAUCAAUUCCCUGAGGACAGCAAACAUUCCUUUAGGCUCUGAAAUAUGCUAAUCAGUCUGUGUGUGACUCCAUAAUGACAGAAACCAUAGCUCACAUAAUUUCAAAAUGGACACUGUGAGGUCAACAGUAUGAGAUUUUAGAUGUUAUGGAUGAGGAAAUUGAGGCAGAGAGAAGUAAGGCGUCAAAGACGCCAAACUGGUCCUCUCCAGCAUAUUGGCUAAUCCCAACACCCUCUGCUUUUAAAAACCACUCGGAUUGCUUCAUCACCAUGAAAACAUGGUUUUAGAGUUGAUCUCUCACGCCAGCUCCCCUCCCCCAACGUUCAACCUGAGAUGAUAAAGAGACAGAGAUUGAGUGUCAACUGGUGUGAAUCACCUCCUGUUGUGUGGAACCAGGUACUCUGACAAUAUCCACUGUGACAUGGGAAGGACAGACAUCAUCGAUGGUAUCAUCAAUGUACAGAGAUUACUGCCCUACUAAAGCAAUGGACAAUAACACUUGCAUCUUAAAGACAAGUAGGAAUUAUCUGGGGUAAAGGUAUCAGAGGAAGGAGCCAGAAAAUGGAUAACAGGCAGAGGAAACAGCACAUUUGAAAGCCCAAGGCACUGCUCUGAGGUGCGUGGAAUGAAGCGAUGACAGCUGGAACCAGAGGAGAGCUCCUGAAUCAUGAUGUGAACUUGAGAACAGAGGCCCAGAAAGGUGACGUCACAAGAAAGACAGUAGGAGUAGGAGUUCUGGAACAGUAGAAUCCUGUUCCAGCCCCAUUUUAUCCAUGAAGAUUUUUGCAUGAAAAAGAAACACAUUUCUACAUUUUAAACCUUUGCUAUUUUGGUUUCUGGUAAACUCUCUGCUGAAAGCAUAGAGGAUUUCAGGCCCAAGGGAACAGAAUUCUUUAGAGUAGUGACUCUCAGACUUUAGCACUUAAAAAAAAAAGAAAAAAAAAGAAGGCACAUGGAGAGCUUGUUAGAACACAAACUUCUGGGUCCUAUCCCCAGAAAUUCUGAUGUUGUGUAUCAGCCAUAAAAUCUGAGAAUAUGAAUUUCAUAUAACCUCCCAAAUGAUACAGAAGACCCUUGGACCACACACUGUUCUAGGGCUCUGAGUCAGAAAAGAGUUCAGCACAUUUAAGGAACUGAAUCAAGGCUAGCUUUAGAGAACAGUGGGAGGCAUGGACGAAGGUUGGAAAGGUAGGUAGAUGGCCACAUUAUGCAAAGCUUUGUAGUCCAGAAAGGGAAUGAUUUUCUUCUAAGUUAAGUGGGUAUCUACUGAAGAAUAUUGAGCAAGAAAGUGACCAUAUUUAAGGUUAUAAGGUCAUUCUCUACUCUAUGGAAAAUGGACUGCAAAGGGGUCUAAGAUGUUAUAUCAGUAGACAAGUAGACAAGGCCAGAUACUCUGGCCAGGGUUGUAGCAGCAGAGACAGAAUCAAGAUAUAUUUUGGAAGUAAGAAUAACAAAUACUUUGCUAAUAGAUUCAAUGUGUGGAAUAAAGGAAGAGGAGGAGUUGGGAAGGAGGAUGACUCCCAGGUUUUUGUUUUGAGUAAAUGGGUGGAACCUUCAUACGAUACGCUGAGCAGAUUCCUAUGCCACUGACACACAAGCCAGAAUUUCCAGGGAUGGUAGUCUACCACUCCCAUUUGUGGCACUUUUAGGAGAUGCCAACUUUCAGAUUAUCCCUCCAGUCCAAGCUAUUCACUGCAAUUGCCCAAUAAGCCUCUGGGUGGGUUGGCCCCACCCACAUGACAUCUCUUCAUAAGCACUUGUGCCUUAGAUGUGGUUUGGAAUUAUUUUGUCUGUUUUCCAGAGAUGAUCUCCAGGGUUUUGUUUUUGUGUGUGUGUUUGUAUAUGUUUAUGUUCCCUUUGGCAGGAUACAGUGCGAUUCUUCAAUCACAGGGCACAAAGAGUUCUCAGAGUUCUAUAGUUCUGGAGGUGUCUGAUGUCUUGGCCAAUGUGUACAAAUGGUCUGUUUUCUAGCACAUUUCAAUUCUAAUUCACCUCAUUACGGAAUGCCUAUCACAAGAAGAGUCAUUAAAUUUUCUCUUGUCUUACUUCCCAUAACUGUUGCUGCUCACAGAAUAAUUGUUCUUAAUCCUUAACAAGGCCCUGUAUGAUCCGGUUCCUCCCUACUCCUCCAGGCUCAUCAUCUACUUUUCCCCCAAUUUCUUUCCACUGUAGCUACUCUGAACUUCUCUCAGUUUAUACAUUCAACUUGCUCUCUUCUGCCUUGGCAAUCCCGUAGAAGCUAAUCACUAUUUAUAGAAAACAUCUCCCCGAUGGUAACCUAGCCAGUCCCCAAUCAUUCAGCUCAAAUUUGAAUAAAUGACACUAUGUCAGCCUUUUUCUGUGGCUCCCCAAUACCCUUUCCCAUCCCCUGAGAUUGGAUAGUCCUCCUUCUUAAAUGCUCCGGAGGCUACCUGAACAGUUAUUUUGCUAACUUACCAUAAGUUAGUUAAUUAUCUAUAGUACUAGUUUCAUUAUUACUUACUACUUAUCAUCUCUGGUUAACUAUAAAUCCUAUGAGGACAGAGACUGCAUCUGUCUGCCUUGGCUUUGUAUAUCCUCAGUGCCUGGCAUGCAACAUUUUCUCACUAAAUAUUUGUUGGUUCACAUAUUGAUUUCAACAAAUGAGAUAUAUUUAUACUUUAACUUUAGAAAGAACCAUCAUAUACUUUUAGCAGCUCAGAUUAUUUUUAACUCUGAGAUUAUGCAUGGAUUAAAAAUCUGUAUUCCAGUGCAUCUGGUGGGCAAUGUAAUAGAGCUUCCCACAUUUCCAUAUUGCUGCUUCUUCUUUUAUUUCCAACAAUUUCAAACUGAGGUUUAUCUUCAAAAAAAUUAUUUUCAGGAAAAUUAUUUCUCUGUUUUGUUCCUCACCAGUUUUAAAAUAGGGUUCUUUUCUAUUUAAAGAUUCCUUCCCUCAUUCCUGUUUCUUUUUCCCUUAAUCAGGAGUACUUUCUCUGGACUUUAUUUUGAAAAUUCUUCUACAGUCAAAUGUUGUCAAUUCUUAAACACUGUCCCCCCACUUCAAAAGAACAAAUAGGAGCAUUCUCUACAAACUACCCACCCAUUCUGUGUUUUUUGUCAGUUCCCUAGAUGAAAGUUAACUGCCUCUAUCUUCAGAUUGUAAAAUUUCUCUAGCUGGGAGGUUUUUUGCUCUGUGUACUUUUAUGACAUUUGUAAGCAUUAAUGAUAUGCUACAGCAUUGUGUAGAGUACUAUAACAGAGAACUACAUAUUAGGGAAAAAUUAAGGCCAUCAAGGCUGUCAUCAGGCCUUAAGAGAACUGCUGAUAUCUCAAAUGUGUUUGGGAUUUCUAUAAAAUUUGGUUUGGCAUUUAUACUGAGUUCCAAAUAGUUUUUAUCUCUCUCAUCUUAUGAUUACCCCAAUUAUUGUACUCUGGUUUUCCAUUUUGCAGAAGAAAUCAGCAAAAAGAAAUUUCUACAUCAGGUCGGAAGUGGUAAAACCAAAAUUAGUCUUUUUGCUUUUUCAGUUUAAAAAGUGAAUGAAUAGAAAUACCUUUAGCUGCUCAAUCUUCCCAAAUGGUUGAAAUGAUUAAAAUGGAAAUGUCAACUAAUACCUCAAAAGAGAAAAAGCUAAAAGAUGUUGAUUUUCUAAAAGGCUAGAAACUGAUAAGUCCUGUGGCUCUUUUGGUAUAAUGCUCCCAUGCUCACAACAUUCCUGGAGAAGAGAAAUUAUCUCUAAGCAGAAGGUAAGAAGACAGGUGCGGUAAAGUAGGUAAAUUGCUUCAGGUCUUCUGGUUGGAGAACUAUGGGUAUGAGAGAUAAAUCUAUAUCUGAAUGUUUCAUCAUUUGUGCUGUUACUAAGACAUGGAUAAUUCAGACCAGGUAUCUGCCUUCAUGGAGCUUAGAUUCUGGUAGAGGAUGGGGCUGUAAACCAAUACAAACCAAACCAUUAACAAGAUGACUUGAGAGAUCUAGAGGCUGGAAAAGUAUCCAAUGGGACAAAGCAAAGAAGAGCAAGCUGAUGUAGGUAGUAGGGCUGAGGGGGUACUACCUCAUGAUCAAUAAAAAUUAUUUUUAGAUUUCUUUGUUACAGAAAAAUUCAAAUAUAAAAGUAGAGAGAACAGGAAAAUGAACUCUCAUGUGACUAUAGCCUCCUUCAGCAAUGUCAACUUAUGGUCAAUCUUAUCUCCUCUCUGUCUCCACCAAUUCUGCCUGAUUAUUUCAUUUAUAAAUACUUCAUCAUGUAUUUCCAAAAGACAACCUUUUUUUUUUUCCUUUUUAUACAAACACCACAACCAUUAUCACAUCUGGACAGAACUUAAUAAUUUAUGAUUUGAUUUUAGAAUUUACACUUGAGGGAAGGUCUAUUGGAGGAGGUACAACUUGAUGAGAUCCAAGUGAAAGAAGGAGUGAGCCUUGACAAGAUAUGGGGAUGGUACCAAACUUGUAUUUUUUGGUGUUUGUUUUUUAUACAAAUUCAAAAUUUUAUAGCUAGAGGGAAAAAUAAUUGAUUCCUCAAAAUCAGUUGUUGUUAUUCUUUGUCAAACAUGACGCUCACAGAACAUUUUUGACAAAGGAACAAAAGAUCUAUAUAUAUUUUUGGUGCAAGGUUUGUUGGCUUUUUGUCUUUUUUUUCCCUGUCUUCAGGUGACAGACAUAGCUGAAUCAAUGAAGGACAAUACUUGCCUAAAAUGUGCAACAUAAAUAUAGAAAUCCUAUGAACAGAAGAUUCAAAACCAGUACUGGAACAAAACCAGCUCUGAGCUCUGGUGAAUCUUCUGUGUAGAAGGCCACAUCUGAAUGACCAACAAAGUCUUUCAGCUACUUCCUUGUUCCAUAGCUGGUCAGACUACAGAUCUUGCUGGCUGGCUUUUUCAUUAUUCCUCCUUUGAAGAUCUCUUUAACCACACCUUUCUGGAACUGAGGGACAAGAAAUACUCUUUAAAAACCAUUGGAUUACCACGUUGAGAAGCAUCUUUGUGCUUUCUUCUUCUUUUUCUGGAUGAAGAUCAGCCAAACACAGAAGCAGCAUUAAUGUUCCUUUGCUGGCAGUUCCAUCCAACCUCCCAGGGGAAGGCAUUUUGCCAAGUUCUUCUCUGCCCAUUUGAAAUUCAAAUCCCUGAAUAAGCCUCAGUGCCACCUUUGUCCAGAAACCUCAAAAGCCCCAGUCCAUGUCAAUCUGCCUUGAAAUUAUAAAGGGACAUAUUACUGUGUAGGAAGAUAAGCUGUGUUGAAAUAACAUCCAGGGUGGUUGUUAAAUAAAUUCAGGAAAACCAAGACAUUCACUGUUAAGCCGAGACUCUGUCCUCAACUCACCUCCCAGGCAAGAAGUGGGCAGAGAAGCCCAUGCUGGAGGUAGACACUCUUGAACUAAUGACUUCAGUGGCUAUUUGACUUAAAAAUAAUGUAACUUGCCAACUUCUAGAAGCUUACGAGCUGUUGUUUCAGACAUCUCCACAGGUGUGAUUAAAGCUUCAGCUUAAGAAAAUUUUAGUUAAGAUGGGAGAAACUUGGGUCCAUUUUCUAGCUCAGAGAUUCUGUUGCUGUGUGGCCUCGGCAUGUUCAUUCAGGACGAUCCCGAACUUUAUUUUCCCUAUUCACAAAAUGGGACCAUUCAGAUUGGAUUAUACAGUUGUUUUUAGGAUAAAAUAAGCAUGGGAAGAUAGUUUCAGAAGUAAAAGGUCCAACAUAAUGUAAGGGUUAAAGAUCAGAUAUACACUAAGAAGCCAUGCGGCUACACUUUCUGACUGCUAAGGGAUUUGUUUAAAGCCUGUGGCCCAUUUGAUUUUGAAGGCAUUUACCAGGCACCUACUCUGUAUUAGCAUGUUUUCCCUGGUGCCAUAAAAACGUGUCGG